rnacentral:rRNA from 2 species
AAAGGUAAGCUACUAAGAGCGAAUGGUGGAUGCCUUGACUGGUAAAGGCGAUGAAGGACGUACUAGACUGCGAUAAGCUACGGGGAGCUGUCAAGAAGCUUUGAUCCGUAGAUUUCCGAAUGGGGCAACCCAAUGUAUAGAGAUAUACAUUACCUAUAUAGGAGCGAACGAGGGGAAUUGAAACAUCUUAGUACCCUCAGGAAAAGAAAUCAAUAGAGAUUGCGUCAGUAGCGGCGAGCGAAAGCGCAAGAGGGCAAACCCAGUGCUUGCACUGGGGGUUGUAGGACUGCAAUGUG